AUGUCGAUCAUCGCGCUCCUGUACGCCACGGCGCAGCUGCUGCGCGACGCGCACAGGCUCAGCUCCGGCCGGGACCUCGUCGCCGGGCGGAAGGCGGCGGCCGUCCUCGACUUCGCCGGAGAUCAGGUGGUGGCCUACUCGCUGAUAUCGGGCUUGUCCGCGGCGGCGCCGGUGACGGACUACAUGCGCCAGGCCGCCGACAACCUGUUCAACGACUCGGCCGCGGCCGCCAUUAGCCUCGCCUUCUUCGCCUUCUUGGCCAUCGGCCUCUCUGCCCUCAUCUCUGGGUACAAUCUUUCCUUGGAAGCUCUUGUUUAG
rnacentral:rRNA from 1 species